rnacentral:tRNA from 1 species
GGGCGGUUAGCUCAGUUGGCUAGAGCGCCUGCCUUACAAGCAGGAUGUCGGGGGUUCAAGUCCCUCACCGCCCA